GCUCCCAUCACUCUUUAGGGAUCCGUGUCAGAAUCAAACAGUACGACAAAGUCAAAGGUUCGCUUUAAUCCAGUUUUCGUCCGGCUUCAUCGUGUUUGUUUUCGGUAUGAGCGCCGCUGUGCAGGGAGUACCCCGACCUGCUCAGCCCAUGUUAGGCGGAGGGCGAACGGCAGGUUUGUAUCCAAACAUGAGACCGCCGCAUUUGAAACAUACUCACUCAAAGACGCAGAUGGAAGAAAACAAGGGAAAGCCAGACUGCCAGAAGAAGAAAUAGAUUGCCAGCCGCAUUUCAGAUUUAUCAGGCCCCAUCAGAAUCGUCCUGAGUGCCGCCCGUUGCACUUCCAUCUUCUCUACAAUCGGAAUGCAGUUAUUUCUACCAUCCAUAAACGCUUGAUCCCUAACUCACUGUGUAAAUAAAAAUUGCAAAAUCCUU